rnacentral:ncRNA from 9 species
GUAGGUGAACCUGCGGAAGGAUCAUUAA